CCUACGGGGUGCUGCAGUCGAGAAUCAUUCACAAUGGGGGAAACCCUGAUGGUGCGACGCCGCGUGGGGGAAUGAAGGUCUUCGGAUUGUAAACCCCUGUCAUGUGGGAGCAAAUUAAAAAGAUAGUACCACAAGAGGAAUAGUCGGCUAACGCGGUGCCAGCAGCCGCGGUAAUACAGAGGUCUCAAGCGGUGUUCGGAAGCACUGGGCAUAAAGAGUACGUAGGAUGUUUCGUAAGUCGUGUGUGAAAGGCGCGGGCUCAACCCGCGGACGGCACAUGAUACUGCGAGACUAGAGUAAUGGAGGGGGAACCGGAAUUCUCGGUGUAGCAGUGAAAUGCGUAGAUAUCGAGAGGAACACUCGUGGCGAAGGCGGGUUCCUGGACAUUAACUGACGCUGAGGCACGAAGGCCAGGGGAGCGAAAGGGAUUAGAUACCCCAGUAGUC
rnacentral:rRNA from 1 species